CGGAGAUUACAGGCGGAAGUUUUCGGAUGGAAGCUUGUAAACUUAGUGGCGGACGGGUGAGUAACACGUGAGCAACCUGCCUAUCAGAGGGGGAUAACGAUUGGAAACGAUCGCUAAUACCGCAUGACAUAGCGGAACCGCAUGGUUUUGUUAUCAAAGAUUUUAUCGCUGAUAGAUGGGCUCGCGUCCGAUUAGAUAGUUGGUGGGGUAACGGCCUACCAAGUCGACGAUCGGUAGCCGGACUGAGAGGUCGAACGGCCACAUUGGGACUGAGACACGGCCCAGACUCCUACGGGAGGCAGCAGUGGGAGAUAUUGCACAAUGGGGGAAACCCUGAUGCAGCGACGCCGCGUGAGGGAAGACGGUCCUCUGGAUUGUAAACCUCUGUCUUCGGGGACGAAACGAGACGGUACCCGAGGAGGAAGCCACGGCUAACUACGUGCCAGCAGCCGCGGUAAUACGUAGGUGGCAAGCGUUGUCCGGAAUUACUGGGUGUAAAGGGAGCGUAGGCGGGCAGGCAAGUCAGGCGUGAAAUAUAUCGGCUCAACCGGUAACGGCGCUUGAAACUGCAGGUCUUGAGUGAAGUAGAGGUUGGCGGAAUUCCUAGUGUAGCGGUGAAAUGCGUGGAUAUUAGGAGGAACACCAGU
rnacentral:rRNA from 1 species